AUGCAGUUGACGGGUCUCAAAUAGGACGAAACACGUGUCAUGGAU
rfam:Schistosoma haematobium scaffold7357_1, whole genome shotgun sequence.